AUUGCAAUUGCUAGGGAUGGAAGACAUGAUUCCAUGAGACAUUGUUCUAAAUACUGUGCAUAUACAACAUUCUUUUGCACAGUACCUCAAAUCAUUAGUUUUUCUCUUGUGCAGAAGUGACCAAAGUCCUGACCAAUCUUGCAAAAUGUGCUGGAUGUGAGUCUUUAUCAAGCUAGAUAAGACCUUGUUCCAACCACUAGUACUGGAGUGCUUCAUCAACACCCUCUGGUAACGGGAAUGUAAUUGUUACUAAGUUAAAACUUUCCUUGGUCAUGUCAAAAACAAACACAGUGGAUUUUCAGACCCGUUAUUUGACAAAUGUGCUCAUGAUUCCGACAUAAAACCAUGCAAAUGGAUAAAUGAAGAUUCUAUAUCAUACAAUAAGAUGUAUGCAGCUUUAACUAAACCAAGGUUGAUUGCUGGAAUCAUGAAAGCUUCUCCAAUCUCUCAAACAAGUGCAUUGAAGGGAUUUCACUCAGUUUUUCACCAGUUUGCACCCAAAAUGAUCAGCUACUUUUUUCUUGGAAUGUUCAGCAGGUAUUCUAUGAAACAUGUGUGAUGAAACACGUCGGGGACCAACGUUGAGUGAACGUUUUUUUGUGAACUCUUUGGAACGUGGUGGCGACGUUAGGAUGAACGUUGGCAUGUAACGUAUUUUCAUUUAACAUACAAUUAAUGAUGCAUUAUUUGUGAAAUCAUAAAACAGCCUUUCCAAUGAUACCAACUAAAGUUUAAUUUCCAUAUAA